rnacentral:misc_RNA from 1 species
UUUCCGUAGGUGAACCUGCGGAAGGAUCAUUACAAAUAGGAGGGGGGGUGGUUGUGUAACUACUCCCUACGUUUACGCUUGAUUGUUCGACAGAGUUAUUGUGAAGAAGAAUUUGACACAACUUUUAACAAUGGAUCUCUUGGCUCUU